GGAUUCUAACAGUCAUACUGUAUACGUAGUGUGCCGGAUGGCCAGUUCCCUUGUUCUGCAGAACAAGAGAAUGUCGUCCAGAUAAAUUAUGCAUCUGAUCCUGCGUGUUCGGAGGUGCGAUACCACUGGUUUUAGCAUUUUCGUGAAGCACCACGGUGCUGAGCUCAGUCCGCACGGAAGGCACGUGAACUGCCAUCGCGUGCCGUUCCAGAGAAAACGG